GGUGGCUCAGUGGUAGAGUGCUUGCUUUGUAUGCAAGAGGUCCUGGGUUCAAUUCCUCAGCACCA
rfam:Dipodomys ordii contig_3423, whole genome shotgun sequence.